rnacentral:ribozyme from 1 species
AUGUCACUUGUUUUUACUUUCCUUGCUCUUCUUCUUCUUCUUUUUCUUCUUUAUCGUCUUCUUGUGCUGGUGGGGAAGAAAACGGAGAGGAUGGU